GCCCUUCCUACGGGAGGCAGCAGUAGGGAAUCUUCCGCAAUGGACGAAAGUCUGACGGAGCAACGCCGCGUGAGUGAAGAAGGGUUUCGGCUCGUAAAACUCUGUUGUUAAGGAAGAAUGACACAUGGAGUAACUGCCAUGUGUGUGACGGUACUUAACCAGAAAGCCACGGCUAACUACGUGCCAGCAGCCGCGGUAAUACGUAGGUGGCAAGCGUUAUCCGGAAUUAUUGGGCGUGAAGCGCGCGUAGGCGGUUUCUUAAGCCUGAUGUGAAAGCCCCCGGCUCAACCGGGGAGGGUCAUUGGAAACUGGGGGACUUGAGUGCAGAAGAGGAGAGUGGAAUUCCAUGUGUAGCGGUGAAAUGCGCAGAGAUAUGGAGGAACACCAGUGGCGAAGGCGGCUCUCUGGUCUGCAACUGACGCUGAUGUGCGAAAGCGUGGGGAUCAAACAGGAUUAGAUACCCUGGUAGUCCACGCCGUAAACGAUGAGUGCUAAGUGUUAGGGGGUUUCCGCCCCUUAGUGCUGCAGCAAACGCAUUAAGCACUCCGCCUGGGGAGUACGACCGCAAGGUUAAACUCAAAGGAAUUGACGGAAGGGC
rnacentral:rRNA from 1 species